AAUUAUUAUAUAACUAUUAUAUAAUAAUACACGAAAUAAAUUGAGCUAAAUAUUAAUAAUUUUUGGAUUUAUUACUAUAUGUUGCAAAAUAUCUAAUUAUGUGUAUUUAGGAGUGAAAAGCCUAUCAAAUUUUAUGAUAUCUUGAUGUAUAUAAAAUAUAUUAAGUAUUUUAAUUCGGCUAUUGAAUGUUUAGGUUCAAUAGGUUCAUUAUCUUUUUUUGGAUUAUUUCUUAAUUUUUUUAAGUAAAAUUAAUUUAGUUAAUAGAAUAUUAAUCAAUUUUUACCAUAUGAAUAUUAAUAUACUAUGAUUAUUAAUUAAUUCUAUCAUAUAUAAUGUAAUUAUUAGUAAUAUAUUAUUAAACUGUAUAAAGGAAUUCGGCAAAUUUUUUUUCAACUGUUUAUCAAAAACAUAGCCUGUUGUAUAUUUAAUAAUAAGUAACCCCUGCUCAAUGGAUAUCUAAAUAGCCGCAGUACCUUGACUGUGCAAAGGUAGCAUAAUCAAUUGGCUUAUAAUUGAAGUCUGGAAUGAAUGGGAAAUUUGGAAAAUAGCUGUCUUUAUGUAGUAUUUUGAAGUUACUUAUAAAGUGCAAAUACUUUAAACAAAAUAUUAGACGAGAAGACCCUAGAAAUUUGGUAGUUUUAACUUUUGUUGGGGCGACAGGGUAACAUGUAACUUACCUAUAAUUAAAUUUAAACCUAAUAAGGCACAUAAAUAAAUUACUCUAGGGAUAACAGCAUAAUAUAUAAAAGUUUAUGACCUCGAUGUUGGACUAGGUAAUUAAAUAUUUAGAAGAUUUUUUAAUUUGCUCUGUUCGAGCAAUAUUCACCUACAU
rnacentral:rRNA from 1 species